rnacentral:rRNA from 1 species
UGGGGAAUCUUGCGCAAUGCGCGAAAGCGUGACGCAGCAACGCCGCGUGGGGGAAGAAGGCCUUCGGGUUGUAAACCCCUUUCAGGAGGGACGAAGGUCGGGCGGGGAAUAGCCGACCCGACUGACGGUACCUCCACAAACAGCCCCGGCUAACUACGUUCCAGCAGCCGCGGUAAUACGUAGGGGGCAAGCGUUGUCCGGAAUCAUUGGGCGUAAAGAGCGUGUAGGCGGUCCGGUAAGUCGGCUGUGAAAGUCCAGGGCUCAACCCUGGGAUGCCGGUCGAUACUGCCGGACUAGAGUUCGGAAGAGGCGAGUGGAAUUCCCGGUGUAGCGGUGAAAUGCGCAGAUAUCGGGAGGAACACCUAUGGCGAAGGCAGCUCGCUGGGACGUUACUGACGCUGAGACGCGAAAGCGUGGGGAGCAAAC